rnacentral:rRNA from 1 species
GAGGUAACGGCCCACCAAGGCGACGAUCAGUUAGCCGGACUGAGUGGUUGGCCGGCCACAUUGGGACUGAGAUACGGCCCAGACUCCUACGGGAGGCAGCAGUGGGGAAUAUUGGGCAAUGGACGCAAGUCUGACCCAGCAACGCCGCGUGAAGGAAGAAGGCUUUCGGGUUGUAAACUUCUUUUAAGGGGGAAGAGUAGAAGACGGUACCCCUUGAAUAAGCCACGGCUAACUACGUGCCAGCAGCCGCGGUAAUACGUAGGUGGCAAGCGUUGUCCGGAUUUACUGGGUGUAAAGGGCGUGCAGCCGGAGAGACAAGUCAGAUGUGAAAUCCACGGGCUCAACCCGUGAACUGCAUUUGAAACUGUUUCCCUUGAGUGUCGGAGAGGUAAUCGGAAUUCCUUGUGUAGCGGUGAAAUGCGUAGAUAUAAGGAAGAACACCAGUGGCGAAGGCGGAUUACUGGACGAUAACUGACGGUGAGGCGCGAAAGCGUGGGGAGCAAACAGGAUUAGAUACCCUGGUAGUCCACGCUGUAAACGAUUCGAUACUAGGUGUGGCGGGGACUGGCCCCCCUGCGUGCCGGAGUUAACACAAUAAGUAUCGCACCUGGGGAGUACGAUCGCAAGGUUGAAACUCAAAGGAAUUGACGGGGGCCCGCACAAGCGGUGGAUUAUGUGGUUUAAUUCGAAGCAACGCGAAGAACCUUACCAGGGCUUGACAUCCUACUAACGAAGUAGAGAUACAUUAGGUGCCCUUCGGGGAAAGUAGAGACAGGUGGUGCAUGGUUGUCGUCAGCUCGUGUCGUGAGAUGUUGGGUUAAGUCCCGCAACGAGCGCAACCUCUAUUGUUAGUUGCUACGCAAGAGCACUCUAGCGAGACUGCCGUUGACAAAACGGAGGAAGGCGGGGACGACGUCAAAUCAUCAUGCCCCUUAUGUCCUGGGCUACACACGUAAUACAAUGGCGGUCAACAAAGGGAUGCAAAGCCGCGAGGCAGAGCGAACCCCCAAAAGCCGUCCCAGUUCGGAUCGCAGGCUGCAACCCGCCUGCGUGAAGUCGGAAUCGCUAGUAAUCGCGGAUCAGCAUGCCGCGGUGAAUACGUUCCCGGGCCUUGCACUCACCGCCCGUCA